AACGAACGCUGGCGGCAUGCCUAACACAUGCAAGUCGAACGAGACCUUCGGGUCUAGUGGCGCACGGGUGCGUAACGCGGGGGAACCUGCCUUUAGGUUCGGAAUAACUCAGAGAAAUUUGAGCUAAUACCGGAUGAUGUCUUCGGACCAAAGAUUUAUCGCCUUUAGAUGGGCCCGCGUUGGAUUAGCUAGUUGGUGGGGUAAAGGCCUACCAAGGCGACGAUCCAUAGCUGGUCUGAGAGGAUGAUCAGCCACACUGGGACUGAGACACGGCCCAGACUCCUACGGGAGGCAGCAGUGGGGAAUAUUGGACAAUGGGCGAAAGCCUGAUCCAGCAAUGCCGCGUGAGUGAUGAAGGCCUUAGGGUUGUAAAGCUCUUUUACCCGAGAUGAUAAUGACAGUAUCGGGAGAAUAAGCUCCGGCUAACUCCGUG
rnacentral:rRNA from 1 species